AUUGCUUGCAAUUUGUUGCCUUAUGUUUUUAACUACUUUUAAAGCAUUAUUUUUUACAGUGCAGGCUGCUGUUUCCUUUAAAGUCAGGUAUGGACAUUUCUUUUGGAGCAGGAAGCUGAAAACACUACAGUGACCGAGACAGCUGUUCUCAUUGAGCCUUGGUGAUCACAGUUAAUUUAGUGUGUCAAACAUCCACUCCUCCAAAGCUAAGUUUUGUGGUCAGUGAUUGAGUGCCUUCUUAAUCAUCUUGUUGAUGUGGUAGUCCUCACUUGAAGUGACAGUACUGACCGAGCACACCACACUGGCCAUCACAAAGUUGUUGAACAUGUUAGGGACGUCACAACUCAUAUAAAAGGAGCACAGUCUGCUCCGUACAAAGGGGUCUUAUACUGUCUAUAUAAGCAUAUAGAGCAGCUCCACUGUGUUAUGUGACCAGCCCAGGCUGUCAUUAAUGUUAUUCUCUCAUAUUUACUGUGUGAAUAGAUGAGGCCACUAGUUAGGACUGAGAGAGGCAGUCAUGUCAGACUAAAUUCUGAUCCCUCAGCCUCCAACACGCCCAGAUUUCUGAAUUUUCAUCUUUUCUCUUUCCAUUUCAGGUUUAACACAUAAGUUUCCUAAAGUAAUACAAACCUUCUCUCAUGAGGAUCUCCUCAAGAUCACCGAGUACUACAAGCCCUACCUGGCUUAUGUGAUUGAAUACGACAUCACGAGUAUCCUGCAGAACCUGGUCACCAAGAACAUCCUCACCAACGAUGAGGCCAAGAGAUUCAAAGCCAAAGAAAAGUCUGAGGGGCGAGCAGGUGUGGAGUCCUUCAUCGGUGAAAUAAUGAAGAUGGAGAGUGUGGCACUGGUGAGCCUGUGGGAGGCACUAGCUGAAGAACUUAUGAGAUUUCCAUCACCAAAUCUGACAAGAAUACUGAAGGAAGUGACAGAGGGCGGACCAGACCUCUUGAUGGACAUUCAGGCCAGUCUCCAGCCCACUCCCAUUGAUGCCUGUAUUAAAGG